rnacentral:tRNA from 1 species
GUGGGGUUUUGGCUCAGUGGUAGAGUGCUUGCCUAGCAUGCAUGAGGCACUGGGUUCAAUCCUCAGCACCACA